rnacentral:rRNA from 1 species
GAUGAACGCUGGCGGCGUGCUUAACACAUGCAAGUCGAACGGUGAAGGCGGAGCUUGCUCUGCUGGAUCAGUGGCGAACGGGUGAGUAACACGUGAGCAAUCUGCCCCUGACUCUGGGAUAAGCGCUGGAAACGGCGUCUAAUACUGGAUACGAGCUGUGAAGGCAUCUUCAGCAGCUGGAAAGAAUUUCGGUCAGGGAUGAGCUCGCGGCCUAUCAGCUUGUUGGUGAGGUAAUGGCUCACCAAGGCGUCGACGGGUAGCCGGCCUGAGAGGGUGACCGGCCACACUGGGACUGAGACACGGCCCAGACUCCUACGGGAGGCAGCAGUGGGGAAUAUUGCACAAUGGGCGAAAGCCUGAUGCAGCAACGCCGCGUGAGGGACGACGGCCCUCGGGUUGUAAACCUCUUUUAGCAGGGAAGAAGCGAAAGUGACGGUACCUGCAGAAAAAGCGCCGGCUAACUACGUG